GACGAACGCUGGCGGCGUGCCUAAUACAUGCAAGUAGAACGCUGAAGCGAGGAGCUUGCUCUUCUUGGAUGAGUUGCGAACGGGUGAGUAACGCGUAGGUAACCUGCCUUGUAGCGGGGGAUAACUAUUGGAAACGAUAGCUAAUACCGCAUAACAAUGGAUGACACAUGUCAUUUAUUUGAAAGGGGCAAUUGCUCCACUACAAGAUGGACCUGCGUUGUAUUAGCUAGUAGGUGAGGUAACGGCUCACCUAGGCGACGAUACAUAGCCGACCUGAGAGGGUGAUCGGCCACACUGGGACUGAGACACGGCCCAGACUCCUACGGGAGGCAGCAGUAGGGAAUCUUCGGCAAUGGGGGCAACCCUGACCGAGCAACGCCGCGUGAGUGAAGAAGGGUUUCGGAUCGGAAAGCUCUGUUGUAAGUCAAGAACGAGUGUGAGAGUGGAAAGUUUACACUGUGACGGUAGCUUACCAGAAAGGGACGGCUAACUACGUG
rnacentral:rRNA from 1 species